UACGUAGGUGGCAAGCGUUGUCCGGAAUUAUUGGGCGUAAAGCGCGCGCAGGCGGUCUUUUAAGUCUGAUGUGAAAGCCCACGGCUCAACCGUGGAGGGUUAUUGGAAACUGGGAGACUUGAGUACAGAAGAGGAGAGUGGAAUUCCAUGUGUAGCGGUGAAAUGCGUAGAUAUAUGGAGGAACACCAGUGGCGAAGGCGACUCUCUGGUCUGUAACUGACGCUGAGGCGCGAAAGCGUGGGGAGCAAACCGG
rnacentral:rRNA from 1 species